GGGGAAUUUUGGACAAUGGGCGCAAGCCUGAUCCAGCAAUGCCGCGUGCAGGAUGAAGGCCUUCGGGUUGUAAACUGCUUUUGUACGGAGCGAAACGGCGCUCUCUAAUACAGGGGGCUAAUGACGGUACCGUAAGAAUAAGCACCGGCUAACUACGUGCCAGCAGCCGCGGUAAUACGUAGGGUGCAAGCGUUAAUCGGAAUUACUGGGCGUAAAGCGUGCGCAGGCGGUUUUGUAAGACAGAUGUGAAAUCCCCGGGCUCAACCUGGGACCUGCAUUUGUGACUGCAAAGCUAGAGUACGGCAGAGGGGGAUGGAAUUCCGCGUGUAGCAGUGAAAUGCGUAGAUAUGCGGAGGAACACCGAUGGCGAAGGCAAUCCCCUGGGCCUGUACUGACGCUCAUGCACGAAAGCGUGGGGAGCAAAC
rnacentral:rRNA from 1 species